CCAAUAGCGUAUAUUAAAGUUGUUGCAGUUAAAAAGCUCGUAGUUGAAUUUCGGGGUCAGUAAGUUGGUCGUGCCACUGGUAUGUACUGGCUUUACUGAUUCCUCCUUCUUGUAGAACCGUAAUGCCAUUAAGUUGGUGUUUCGGGGAAACAGGACUGUUACUUUGAAAAAAUUAGAGAGUUUAAAGCAAGCUAACGCCUGAAUACAUUAGCAUGGAAUAAUGAAAUAGGACGAACGAUCCUAUUUUGUUGGUUUCUAGGAUUGACGUAAUGAUUAAUAGGGAUAGUUGGGGGCAUUAGUAUUCAAUUGUCAGAGGUGAAAUUCUUGGAUUUAUUGAAGACUAACUACUGCGAAAGCAUUUGCCAAGGAUGUUUUCAUUAAUCAAGAACGAAAGUUAGGGGAUCGAAGACGAUCAGAUACCGUCGUAGUCUUAACCAUAAACUAUGCCGACUAGGGAUCGGAUGAUGUUAAUUUUAUAAUGACUCAUUCGGCGCCUUACG
rnacentral:misc_RNA from 1 species